rnacentral:rRNA from 1 species
GCGGUCGCCUCCCAAAAGGUAACGGAGGCGCUCAAAGGUUCUCUCAGUACGGUCGGACAUCGUACGUAGUGUGUAAAGGCAAAAGAGAUCUUGAUUGCGAGACAUACAGGUCGAGCAAGGAGGAAAAUCGGACUUAGUGAUCCGGUUGUUCGUCGUGGUAGGGCCAUCGCUCAACGGAGAAAAGCUACCCUCGGGAUAACAGGCUUCACUCCCCCAAGAGUCCACAUCGACGGGGAGGUUUGGCACCUCGAUGUCGCCUCAUCACAUCCUGGGGCUGUCGUAGGUCCCAAGGGUUGGGCUGUUCGCCCAUUAAAGUGGUACGCGAGCUGGGUUCAGAACGUCGUGAGACAGUUCGGUCCCUAUCCGUCGCAGGCGUAGGAAAUUUGAGAAGACCUGUCCUUAGUACGAGAGGACCGGGAUGGACGUACCUCUGGUGUACCAGUUGUCCUGCCAAGGGCAUGGCUGGGUAGCUAUGUACGGAAUGGAUAAGCGCUGAAAGCAUCUAAGCGCGAAG